rnacentral:rRNA from 1 species
UGGCGGUAUGCUUAACACAUGCAAGUCGAACGGCUUAGGGGCAACUCUAAGCUAGUGGCAAACGGGUGAGUAAUGCAGAGGAAUCUACCUACAGUAAGGAAUAAUUUUGGGAAACCAAAACUAAUACCAUAUAUUACCGACCUAGUCGGGAAGAUACGUCGCUGUUAGAUGAGCCUCUGUCAGAUUAGCUUGUUGGUGAGGUAAAGGCCACCAAGGCAACGAUCUGUAGCUGGUCUGAGAGGAUGAUCAGCCACACUGGAACUGAGACCGGUCCAGACUCCUACGGGAGGCAGCAGUGGGGAAUAUUGGACAAUGGGCGCAAGCCUGUCCAGCAAUACCGCGUGAGUGAUGAAGGUCUUCGGAUUGUAAAGCUCUUUUAGUGGAGAGAUAAUGACGGUAUCCACAGAAAAAGCACCGGCAAACUUCGUGCUAGCAGCCGCGGUAAU